rnacentral:rRNA from 1 species
GUGGGGAAUAUUCCGCAAUGGACGAAAGUCUGGCGGAGCAACGCCGCGUGAGUGAUGAAGGUUUUCGGACUGUAAAGCUCUGUUGUUUAGGACGAAAGUGCCUGUUGCAAAUAGUUACAGGUAUUGACGGUACUGAACGAGGAAGCCACGGCUAACUACGUGCCAGCAGCCGCGGUAAUACGUAGGUGGCAAGCGUUGUCCGGAAUUAUUGGGCGUAAAGAGCAUGUAGGCGGGAAUCUAAGUCUGUUGUGAAAAUGCGGGGCUCAACCCCGUAUUGCGAUGGAAACUGGGUUUCUUGAGUGCAGGAGAGGAAAGGGGAAUUCCCAGUGUAGCGGUGAAAUGCGUAGAUAUUGGGAGGAACACCAGUGGCGAAGGCGCCUUUCUGGACUGUGUCUGACGCUGAGAUGCGAAAGCCAGGGUAGCGAACGGGAUUAGAUACCCGAGUAGUCC